rnacentral:rRNA from 1 species
AGCGAACGCUGGCGGCAGGCCUAACACAUGCAAGUCGAACGGAUCCUUCGGGAUUAGUGGCGGACGGGUGAGUAACACGUGGGAACGUGCCCUUUGGUUCGGAACAACUCAGGGAAACUUGAGCUAAUACCGGAUGUGCCCUUCGGGGAAAGAUUUAUCGCCAUUGGAGCGGCCCGCGUCUGAUUAGCUAGUUGGUGAGGUAACGGCCCACCAAGGCGACGAUCAGUAGCUGGUCUGAGAGGAUGAUCAGCCACACUGGGACUGAGACACGGCCCAGACUCCUACGGGAGGCAGCAGUGGGGAAUCUUGCGCAAUGGACGAAAGCCUGACGCAGCCAUGCCGCGUGAAUGAUGAAGGUCUUAGGAUUGUAAAAUUCUUUCAGCGGGGACGAUAAUGACGGUACCCGCAGAAGAAGCUCCGGCUAACUUCGUG